GAUUGAAGAACGCAGCGAAAUGCGAUAAUUAAUGUGAAUUGCAGAAUUCCGUGAAUCAUCGAGUUUUUGAACGCAUAUUGCGCCCCUUGGUAUUCCGAGGGGCAUGCCUGUCCGAGCGUCAUUGCAACCCUUCAAGCACGGCUUGUGUGUUGGACGGCCGCCCCAGUGUGGGCGGGUCCCAAAUGCAGUGGCGGCGCCGCGAUCCGGGUGCUCGAGUGCAUGGAAACCACGCGCUCGUUAGGCCCCGUCGGGCGCCGGCCGACCUAAUUAUCUUCGUUCUGGUUGACCUCGGAUCAGGUAGGAAUACCCGCUGAACUUAAGCAUAUCAAUAAGCGGAGGA
rnacentral:misc_RNA from 1 species